CCUAACUAAUCACCUAAACUAUAGGAUUCCGUCAUCUAACUAAUCAAACUAAUUAUCUAAAUAAUCACCUAAACUAAUUACCUAACUAAUUAAUAACCUAAACUAACUUAAAAAAAAAAAGGAGGAAAGAGAAUGUACCUUAGAGGGAGAAGAGAGGAGUUUGGGAGGAAUGGACGAGACAGACUCGUCUCGGCGUCCCAAUAUAUAGAAAAUGUUUCGUCGUAAACGCGACGUAAU
rnacentral:lncRNA from 1 species